rnacentral:rRNA from 1 species
GAUGAACGCUGGCGGCGUGCCUAAUACAUGCAAGUCGAGCGAACGGACGAGAAGCUUGCUUCUCUGAUGUUAGCGGCGGACGGGUGAGUAACACGUGGAUAACCUACCUAUAAGACUGGGAUAACUUCGGGAAACCGGAGCUAAUACCGGAUGAUAUUUUGAACCGCAUGGUUCAAAAGUGAAAGACGGUCUUGCUGUCACUUAUAGAUGGAUCCGCGCUGCAUUAGCUAGUUGGUAAGGUAACGGCUUACCAAGGCAACGAUGCAUAGCCGACCUGAGAGGGUGAUAGGCCACCCUGGAACUGAGACACGGUCCAGACUCCUACGGGAGGCAGCAGUAGGGAAUCUUCCGCAAUGGGCGAAAGCCUGACGGAGCAACGCCGCGUGAGUGAUGACGGUCUUCGGAUCGUAAAACUCUGUUAUUAGGGAAGAACAUAUGUGUAAGUAACUGUGCACAUCUUGACGGUACCUAAUCAGAAAGCCACGGCUAACUACGUG